UUUUUUUUUUUUUUUUUUUUUUUUUUUUGACAAGAUUUCUCUGUGUAGCCCUGGCUGUCCUUGACUUGACCUAGGCUGGCCUCAAACUCUCCCUCCAGAGUGCUGGGAUUAAAGGCCUGUGCCACCACUGCCCAGCCAACAAAAGUUUAGUUGUAGUGAGAGUCCUAGAAAGGAGAUGUUUAACAAAUUAUUAAAGACAUCUGAGGUGGUUUACCCUUGUGAGCAGGAGCAAUAAUCAUAUUAGAAGAAGUAUCAGCCAUACAUGGUUGUACUUUAAUCGUCUCAAUUGUGAGAUAUGAGUAAUUCCUGGCUGCCAAACAGCACUAGAUUCUUUAACCCUUGAGGACUAAUCCCACCAGCAGAGGGCAGAAAAGAGGAAAAAGCCUCCGGAGGCAAGGCAGUUUGGUGCAAGAUGGCUCAGUAGCACACAUGGGUUCAGAUAUUGGGAGUCUGACCCCGAGAGGUUUAUUUUAGUCUUAUUUAAGCAUAGCACAAUCUGGUGAUGAUUAAUUCAAUCCCACGAUAACAAAGCAUAAUUAGAUCUCUGGGGAACAAACUAAGUACUGAUCAGGUGCAACUACGUUGAAGCUCUUUAUAAAGUACUGAGGUUCUCUAGACUGACUGAGAAUACAAGUUUAUGAGGGUGUCCACAAGUGCUAACAGUCCCCACCGAUAGACGGAGGUCAUCAGGCGAGAAAGCACAUGCACUCCAGUCGUCUGGGUAGAAAAUGGGUUUUGCAUUCUUUCCCUUGCUGGAACAACCCUUAACAACAACUUAACGGUCUGGGUUCCUCUACUGCAUCUGUGAGCACAAAGACUCUUAUGGGCUCUCAAAAAGCCAGCCCAGGUGAUCAUAGAAUUAUCUGUAAAACACAAAUUUAUUAAAAUUUUAGAAGAAAAUCUUUGUAGCUUUGUAUGCAGCAAAUUUUUGUGAAGUAAAGUAAAAGAAAACAGUGGGACUAGUUGACAGGAGUCAAUGGAGCUUGAAGGUAGGCAGCCUAAGCCACACAGCAAGCAGAUCAGAGACUGCUUGGAGUCCUGAGCUGUGAAAGAAGGAAUUCUAAGUGAACACGAGGAGAACUUUGUGGACGACGCAUUUAUUCAUUAUCUGGAGCAUCGUGGCAGCUUUAUGGGGUGGGGAGAGCACACCUUACAUAGUGUAUGUUAGAGUCUGUGGAAGUUAUGGGAUGGGGAGAGCACACAUCCUCAUGUAGUGUAUGUUAGAGUCUGUGGAAGUUAUGGGAUGGGGAGAGCACACAUCCUCAUGUAGUGUAUGUUAGAGUCUGUGGAGGUUAUGGGGUGGGGAGAGCACACAUCCUCAUGUAGUGUAUGUUAGAGUCUGUGGAGGUUAUGGGGUGGGGAGAGCACACAUCCUCAUGUAGUGUAUGUUAGAGUCUGUGGAAGUUGCUGUGCAUUUGCACACUGUCUGCUAAGGAACAUGAUGCCCGCACAGUCUUCAGCAUUUAUAGCGUGCUGCUCACAGUUUCAAAGCCUUACUGUCAUUUUAGAGAGAACUUUUCAGUGAUUCUCGAGGACAAAGAAAGUGUGCUGUGCGUAUUAUUUUCUUGCAGUUUUAAUGUGUUAUGGAAUUGAAAAGCCAGGUGCAUCUCUGUGAGCUCAAAACCAGCCUGGUCUACAAAGUGAGUUCAGGGUUACACAGAGAAAUGCUGUUUUGAAAAACC
rnacentral:lncRNA from 1 species